rnacentral:tRNA from 1 species
GGGCUCUUAGCUUAGUUGGUAGAGCGACUGCUUUGCACGCAGUAGGUCAGGGGUUCGACUCCCCUAGAGUCCA